rnacentral:sRNA from 1 species
GCCGGGCGUGGUGGCGCAUGCCUGUAAUUCCAGUGGCUCAGGAGGCUGAGGCAGGAGGAUCACAAGUUCAAAGCCAGCCUCAGCAAAAGCAAGGCACUAAGCAAGUCAGUGAGACCCUGUCUCUA